rnacentral:rRNA from 1 species
GGUUGAUCCUGCCAGUAGUCAUAUGCUUGUCUCAAAGAUUAAGCCAUGCAUGUCUAAGUGUAAAUAUUUAUACUGUGAAACUGCGAAUGGCUCAUUAAAUCAGUUAUAGUUUAUUUGAUAAUACCUUACUACUUGGAUAACCGUGGUAAUUCUAGAGCUAAUACAUGCUAAAAACCCCGACUUCUGGAAGGGGUGUAUUUAUUAGAUAAAAAACCAAUCGGGGCAACCCGUCUACUGGUGAAUCAUGAUAACUAUUCGAAUCGCAUGAACUUGUUUCGGCGAUGGUUCAUUCA